rnacentral:misc_RNA from 1 species
UGGUUCUGGCAUCGAUGAAGAACGCAGCGAAAUGCGAUAAGUAAUGUGAAUUGCAGAAUUCAGUGAAUCAUCGAAUCUUUGAACGCACAUUGCGCCCGCCAGUAUUCUGGCGGGCAUGCCUGUUCGAGCGUCAUUUCAACCCUCAAGCCUGGCUUGGUGUUGGGACAUUGCGGCUUGCCGCAAGUCCUGAAAAACAGUGGCGGGCUCGCUAUAACUCCGAGCGUAGUAACUUAUCUCGUUCUGGAAGAGUGGCGGGUGCCGGCCGUUAAACCCCCUAUUUUUACAAGGUUGACCUCGGAUCAGGUAGGAAUACCCGCUGA